UUAAUUACGAAUAAAAAACCGAAUAAAACAAAACGAAAAUGUUGAGUUCUCCCCGCGUACGAAAAUUCCGGGUGGAAAAGGAAGAGUUCUCCAAGAGACAUUCGCGUACCGCCGGACAAAAAAUAUUUAUAAUUUCUUUCAAAUUUAAUUUUAUUUAUUUUGUUUUAGUUUAAUUGGUUUUUUUUUUUGUGAUCUCGUCUAAAUUAUUGAAAAUAUUUUUUGUUUUUUGGUUAGAUUGGUGAAAGUUAUUGAAUAACUUAAAACUUGGAUGGACUCCGAACCGGACUUUCAAAUAUGUGCAUGCAAUGGCGGCGUGCUGCAGCCUUAAAGCUGCACUUUACCGGACUUACUUACCUGAUUGAUCAAAUCAUAGCUGGCUCAAGCUAAAAUUCACGGAUAUGGAGCUGCUUUAUUGCUCCCGAACGACACGAGCUCAGGGAAAUUCCUCACACGAGAUUCUCUGAGGACUGGCUAAUAAUAGAGAGUGGCUAGAAUGGAUUUGACUGGCCUUUGAAUGUAUGACUCAACCAUUAUCCUGAUCGCAUCCAAAUUAAUCAAAUUGUAUCAAAAUUUCGUCGGUGAAUCCAACACGGGUGAAGGAUGAUCUGACAGAGUGAAGAAUGUUCGACCUCAAUGGAAAUACUCUAAAUUAAUCAAGUUCAUUUCAAUUUCGGAAAGCAAAUUGUUUCGCAAAAUAAAAUUCAAAGUUUGAUGAUGAAAA